UACGGAGGGGGCUAGCGUUGUUCGGAAUUACUGGGCGUAAAGCGCGCGUAGGCGGACCUGCAAGUCGGGGGUGAAAGCCCGAGGCUUAACCUCGGAAUUGCCUUCGAUACUGCGGGUCUCGAGUCCGGGAGAGGUGAGUGGAAUUCCUAGUGUAGAGGUGAAAUUCGUAGAUAUUAGGAAGAACACCAGUGGCGAAGGCGGCUCACUGGCCCGGUACUGACGCUGAGGCGCGAAAGCGUGGGGAGCAAACAGG
rnacentral:rRNA from 1 species